GGUCAUGGUGGCCAAGUGGUAAGGCAUUGGUCUCAUAAACCAAAGAGCGUGGGUUUGAUCCCCACCUGUGCCU